GUGCCUAAUACAUGCAAGUCGUACGCACUGGCCCAACUGAUUGAUGGUGCUUGCACCUGAUUGACGAUGGAUCACCAGUGAGUGGCGGACGGGUGAGUAACACGUAGGUAACCUGCCCCGGAGCGGGGGAUAACAUUUGGAAACAGAUGCUAAUACCGCAUAACAACAAAAGCCACAUGGCUUUUGUUUGAAAGAUGGCUUUGGCUAUCACUCUGGGAUGGACCUGCGGUGCAUUAGCUAGUUGGUAAGGUAACGGCUUACCAAGGCGAUGAUGCAUAGCCGAGUUGAGAGACUGAUCGGCCACAAUGGAACUGAGACACGGUCCAUACUCCUACGGGAGGCAGCAGUAGGGAAUCUUCCACAAUGGGCGCAAGCCUGAUGGAGCAACACCGCGUGAGUGAAGAAGGGUUUCGGCUCGUAAAGCUCUGUUGUUGGAGAAGAACGUGCGUGAGAGUAACUGUUCACGCAGUGACGGUAUCCAACCAGAAAGUCACGGCUAACUACGUGCCAGCAGCCGCGGUAAUACGUAGGUGGCAAGCGUUAUCCGGAUUUAUUGGGCGUAAAGCGAGCGCAGGCGGUUGCUUAGGUCUGAUGUGAAAGCCUUCGGCUUAACCGAAGAAGUGCAUCGGAAACCGGGCGACUUGAGUGCAGAAGAGGACAGUGGAACUCCAUGUGUAGCGGUGGAAUGCGUAGAUAUAUGGAAGAACACCAGUGGCGAAGGCGGCUGUCUGGUCUGCAACUGACGCUGAGGCUCGAAAGCAUGGGUAGCGAACAGGAUUAGAUACCCUGGUAGUCCAUGCCGUAAACGAUGAGUGCUAGGUGUUGGAGGGUUUCCGCCCUUCAGUGCCGGAGCUAACGCAUUAAGCACUCCGCCUGGGGAGUACGACCGCAAGGUUGAAACUCAAAGGAAUUGACGGGGGCCCGCACAAGCGGUGGAGCAUGUGGUUUAAUUCGAAGCUACGCGAAGAACCUUACCAGGUCUUGACAUCUUGCGCUAACCUUAGAGAUAAGGCGUUCCCUUCGGGGACGCAAUGACAGGUGGUGCAUGGUCGUCGUCAGCUCGUGUCGUGAGAUGUUGGGUUAAGUCCCGCAACGAGCGCAACCCUUGUUACUAGUUGCCAGCAUUAAGUUGGGCACUCUAGUGAGACUGCCGGUGACAAACCGGAGGAAGGUGGGGACGACGUCAGAUCAUCAUGCCCCUUAUGACCUGGGCUACACACGUGCUACAAUGGACGGUACAACGAGUCGCAAGCUCGCGAGAGUAAGCUAAUCUCUUAAAGCCGUUCUCAGUUCGGACUGUAGGCUGCAACUCGCCUACACGAAGUCGGAAUCGCUAGUAAUCGCGGAUCAGCAUGCCGCGGUGAAUACGUUCCCGGGCCUUGUACACACCGCCCGUCACACCAUGGGAGUUUGUAACGCCCAAAGUCGGUGGCGCUAACCUUUUAUGGAGGGAG
rnacentral:rRNA from 2 species